AUUCCUAGUAGCGGCGAGCGAGCGGGAAGAGCUCAAAUUUAUAAUCUGGCACCUUCGGUGUCCGAGCUAAAUCUCUAGAAAUGUUUUCCGCGUUGGACCGCACACAAGUCUGUUGGAAUACAGCGGCAUAGUGGUGAGACCCCCGUAUAUGGUGCGGACGCCCAGCGCUUUGUGAUACAUUUUCGAAGAGUCGAGUUGUUUGGGAAUGCAGCUCAAAUUGGGUGGUAAAUUCCAUCUAAAGCUAAAUAUUGGCGAGAGACCGAUAGCGAACAAGUACCGUGAGGGAAAGAUGAAAAGCACUUUGGAAAGAGAGUUAACAGUACGUGAAAUUGUUGGAAGGGAAACGCUUGAAGUCAGACUUGCUUGCCGAGCAAUCGGUUUGCAGGCCAGCAUCAGUUUUCCGGGAUGGAUAAUGGUAGAGAGAAGGUAGCAGUUUCGGCUGUGUUAUAGCUCUCUGCUGGAUACAUCUUGGGGGACUGAGGAACGCAGUGUGCCUUUGGCGGGGGUUUCGACCUCUUCACACUUAGGAUGCUGGUGGAAUGGCUUUAAACGACCCGUCUUGAACCCACGGACC
rnacentral:rRNA from 1 species